rnacentral:rRNA from 1 species
UAGGGAAUCUUCGGCAAUGGACGAAAGUCUGACCGAGCAACGCCGCGUGAGUGAAGAAGGUCUUCGGAUCGUAAAACUCUGUUGUUAGAGAAGAACAAGGACGUUAGUAACUGAACGUCCCCUGACGGUAUCUAACCAGAAAGCCACGGCUAACUACGUGCCAGCAGCCGCGGUAAUACGUAGGUGGCAAGCGUUGUCCGGAUUUAUUGGGCGUAAAGCGAGCGCAGGCGGUUUCUUAAGUCUGAUGUGAAAGCCCCCGGCUCAACCGGGGAGGGUCAUUGGAAACUGCGAGACUUGAGUGCAGAAGAGGAGAGUGGAAUUCCAUUUGUAGCGGUGAAAUGCGUAGAUAUCUGGGGGAACACCAGUGGCGAAUGCGGCUCUCUGGUCUGUAACUGACGCUGGGGCUCGAAAGCGUGGGGGGCAAACAGG